rnacentral:lncRNA from 1 species
UGGUUCUGGCUUACCUGAUAAAAGUUCAUUCCUGCCUGGCCCAUAUUUACCAUCACAGUAAGCCCAUGGCAGAGGUGUGUGUUGGGGGGGGGGGGGGAUGUAAUAAUGGUCUUAAGUCCCUUCCAAGCCCAUUUUAACUGCAGAACAGAGCAGCCUCCACAGUGUAAGGUGAGGAAAAAUCCACCUUUGAAGCUUCACUAAGCUACAGAAGAUAAACAUGCUCUGUGGGUAGAGAUGAGGGUAGGAGGGGUGCAGGACAAGUGAUUGACUACUUCCUCCAGCUUUUUUUUGCAUAUGGUUCUAGCAAAUAUGUAUCUCCAAAUCUGAAAACAAACAAUUACAUGGAUAUUUCCUGUGUCAAUAUAAAUUCUUGAAUUGGGAAAUCUUGAAUGAUUACAUAUAUUUGUGUGGAAAGACUGGUUGUUUUCAAAACCCUAGAAUAACUUUCCUAUCAAAUCCAUAUAAUGUUUUUCCCCUGCCCAAAGAUUCCCAAUUUCCCUUCAGAAAUUGUACCAUAUGUUCCAAAAAAUGGUUCGGUCAUGCUGUUUCCACUAUGGCAAGAUUUAUUUCAGUCCUCAAAUUUCCCCUCAGGCCUACGUGCCUUCUCUCGAGUCUCUUCAUCUGUCAUGAAUGAAUCUCUUGUACAACUCUCCUGAGUACAACCUUUCAUAUACGUAUUCUCCCUCUCACAUAAACCAAAGGGCUUGGAGCUCUGCCACUGGGUUAGGAGCUUCAGCUUAGAACUAGAUUUGAAAUGCCAAGUUUCUGGUGACAUUACAGAAUGAUAGUUGGUACCUAAUGCUGGCUUACUUGUAUUCUUGGCAGAUCACUAGACACUUACCACUAAAUGCAGCCCAUGGAUUCCAGGUUAACAAGGUCGUUAUACUUUGAGUUGAUCUCCAAAACAAUAUUCCAUCUUUUAAAAUUCCACUCACGUAAAGCAACUUCAUAAGGCUAACUUCUAAUGUGUGUGAUUUUUUGUUUGUUAUUUUUAUAAUAUUUGAGAUAUGAAGACAAUUCAAUAUAGUGUCAGAUACUAAUGGUAAUUCUAAGGCAAUAACUAGCUAUUCCUUCCAAGGAGAAAUUUAAGUAACUUUUUGAAACAUUAUCUUUUUGCAAUUGAAACUUUACUCGAAGGGCACCUAGGUGGCUCAGUCGGUUGGUUAAGAGGCUGCCUUUGGUUCAGGUCAUGAUCCCGGGAGCCCGGGAUGGAGCCCUGCUUUGGGCUCCUUGCUCAGAGGGGCUUCUGCUUCUCCCUCUUCUCCCCCCGCUUGUGUGUUCUCUCUCUCUCAAGUAAAUAAAUAAAAUCUUUUUUAAAAAAACAAAAAACAAACUUUAAUUGAAAAUAAAUCAUACUUAAUAUUUAUUUUCUCUAAUUAUAACAUCAAAAAUUUCAAAAUAUGUAGCAGAUACUGAGAAGUAAAAAGCCAUAUAUCACAAUUUAGAGAAUUCUUGUUAACAUCAUAUUUCAAAAUUAUUUAUUAACUACAUUGCAUGCAAAUCUGUUCUGUAGGUGAGGCAGAGUUAAAUGGUAAAUUUUAAUGUAUGUUGUUAUGAAAAAGGGGUACAUUUCUACCAAGUCUUUUUAGCUUUGAUUAUUUAACUUUAGGAUUUUUUUUUUUUUUUGGUUUGUUUUUAAGUCCAGCUUUUUUGAAGUAAGAAAAGUAAGGUGGAUUUUACAAAGGUGUUUGGCAGAGUCAAGUAUUAUGAAAUUUAUCCUCUCUGUCUCACAGGUACAUUAUGUUAUUGGCUUCAGUGCCUACUGGCAAACAGUGAGAGAUUUUAAUGCAUCCGUAUUGCAGAAAGGUAAUGAGGUAUGAUGCCAAAUCAUUAUCUCUAAUUACUUUUGGAACGAAAGAAAAAAAUUGAGGUUCCUAAAAUUUUAUAGCGUAUUGCUUUAAUUACAGACUCCCCUGGGUAUAUUCCAACCUUUUAAGUUUUUUUUCCUGAAUAUGAAAGUAAUAUAUGCUCUUUAUACAAAUUUCAAGCACUACAGAACUAUGAAAUGAAACAAACCAUCAAUAACUUUGGAGCAUAUUUUUUCAAAUUAAAAAAGAAUUCUCAAAAAAAAAAAAAGGAAUUCUCUAUUCAGUAUUUAAUGUCCAUUAUUAGUUUUAACAUGCUAUUCUAUUUCGACCACAGCUAAAUCAGUACAUGGUUCUAAUAAACCCAAAUGCCUUUGGUUUCUAAUAUACAAUUCUUUUACUGCUCCUUGUUAACAGUCUAUGAAGCUAGCCUAACUUAAUAAUCUCCUAACUAUUUAAGACAGUAAAGAUAACAUAGAAUGGUGUAUUAUGGCUGAUUUAAUGUCCAGGCUGAGCACUAGCACAUAUUUUCCUAGGAAUUGCUGUUUUUCAAAGCAUUAGAAGAAAACAUACCACGUUAGAACACAUUGAAAACAAUUUAGAAAGCACUUAGUAAUCUCUUUGUGGGAAGCCUGGGUGUCUCAGCUGUUGAGCAUCUGCCUUCUGCUCAGGGUGUGGUCCUGGAGACCUGGGGUGGAACCCCACAUUGGGCUUCCUGCAUGGAGCCUGCUUCUCCCUCUGCCUGUGCCUCUGCCUCUUUCUCUGUCUCUCAUGAAUAAUAAAAUCUUUAAAAAAAAAAAAAAAAAGGAAA